rnacentral:rRNA from 1 species
AACGAACGCUGGCGGCAGGCCUAACACAUGCAAGUCGAGCGAAGCCUUCGGGCUUAGCGGCGGACGGGUGAGUAACGCGUGGGAACGUGCCCUUUGGUACGGAAUAGCCCCGGGAAACUGGGAGUAAUACCGUAUGUGGUCGAGAGACGAAAGAUUUAUCGCCAAAGGAUCGGCCCGCGUUGGAUUAGGUAGUUGGUGGGGUAAUGGCCUACCAAGCCGACGAUCAAUAGCUGGUUUGAGAGGAUGAUCAGCCACACUGGGACUGAGACACGGCCCAGACUCCUACGGGAGGCAGCAGUGGGGAAUCUUAGACAAUGGGGGAAACCCUGAUCUAGCCAUGCCGCGUGAUCGAUGAAGGCCUUAGGGUUGUAAAGAUCUUUCAGUGGGGAAGAUAAUGACUGUACCCACAGGAGAAGCCCCGGCUAACUCCGUGCCAGCCGCCGCAGUAAAAC